AUGAGUUCGUGUCGAGUUUGUCUUUUCCAUCCGGUGUUCGAGUCGCCGGAGGCACAGCUCAGCGUUCGCCGCGGAGGCUGUUCGGCGUAUGUCGCCAGAGGCAACUCCAACAUAAGAGCUUUCAAUGUCAUGUUUAUGCUCACAAUCAUUCAUGAUGUGUUCCGUUCCUUAAAUAAUUUAUCUACUGAGCAAAAUGUAUUGUUUGCUUGUUGCUGUAACCAAGCAUCCCAUCUUUUGACCAUUCGAUGGUUCAGUUUCUCAGUUUGGGUAUAUAUAAGUCAUAAGAGUGCAUUCGUUGAAACCCCUCGCCCUCUCAUCCUAGCCAUUCCUUUUUUUUUCUGCAACUAA
rnacentral:rRNA from 1 species